CCUACGGGAGGCAGCAGUAGGGAAUCUUUGGCAAUGGAGGCAACUCUGACCCAGCAAUGCCGCGUGCGGGAUGAAGGUAAUUUUAUUGUAAAGCGCUUUUCUUUGGAACGAAUAAGUGACGGUACCAAAGGAAUAAGCCCCGGUUAACUCAGUGCCAGCAGCCGCGGUAAUACGUAGGGGGGAAGCGUUGUUCGGAUUGACUGGGCGUAAAGGUUGGGUAGGUGGUUUGAUAAGUUAGAUGUGUAAUACCCAGGGUUUAACUCGGGUGCUGUAGCUUAAACUGUUAGGCUUGAGGACUGGAGAGGAUAGUGGAAUUUCUAGUGUAGCGGUGGAAUGCGUAGAUAUUAGGAGGAACAUCAGUGGCGAAGGCGAGUAUCUGGACAGCUACUGACACUGAGGCACGAAAGCGUGGGGAGCAAACAGGAUUAGAUACCCUAGUAGUC
rnacentral:rRNA from 1 species